UUAUUUCUUUUGUUUAAUGAAGCAUAAUGAUCCCCUCAUUUCUUUUUAACCCCUUUUUAAAAGAAACUAUUAAUCUGAUUAUAACUAGAAAACAUGUGUUAGAAAGAAUUGUCAUAUUUUAGACUAUUAGUGUACAUGCAAUUUUGUUUUAUUAUUAUUAUUCAGCAAGCUUAGCUGUGUGCCAGACAACUAAUCUGGACAUGUAAUUAGAAUUCAAACUAUGACUUGCUGAAAUUUGUAGCCCCUCUUAAGACCAAAGGAAAUCAGUAAUAAACUACCUCUUUCUUUGAAAUAAAUUUCAAAAAUGAGAUUAAGCUGUUUUGCAUUUUUUACAAAUUACUAUUAGAGCUCUAAAGUUGAUUGUCUUAAUAUUAUAAGAGUAACAUCAGUUUUAGAAUAUCACAUUACUAAUAUGUGUUUAUAUAUUUGUCUGAUUAUUUGCAUAUACAAAGGACUGUAAAGCCUUCCUGUACAUUUUGCUUUUUGUUGGGGAAAUGAUUUCCUUUUGCUUUUUUACCCCCCUUGACUGUCUUAGAGAUGCUUUAAAAGAUCUUCCUUUUAGAAAGAUAAAUUUCAAAUAUUAGAAUUGAUAUUAAAUACAUAUGAAUUUAUUCUAAAGAUUUCUUAUCAGUUUAAUAUACUUCUGUUUAAUCCUGUCUCAUUUUACUAAAGAAUUUUUGCACUGGAAAGACAUGGGUUCUAAGUGUAAAUAAUAAACUAUUUUGUAAUAGAUUUGAGAUUUGAGUUUUCCUGUUUAAAGAUUUUUUUAUAUCUUUUUUUUCUCAUUUGGUUUAAUAUAUUUGUCUUGUGUUUGAACUUCCUUUGUUUUUUAUUAUCUAGCAUGUUUUUGUUUUCCUAAUAUUUAAAAACUUAACAUUUGGCAUGGAGUACAUAUUGGUAUCUACUAUUUUCUUUCUGUGAUUUUUAAAGUUAAGCUACUUUUAUUUUUAGAGUGCUCAAGUAUGGAAAACUUUGUUUAUAUCUUUGAGGGAGGACUAUGUAGAUAUGAUUUUAAUUUUUAAAAAAUAUAGUACUUGGUGUUUGUGGGUUAUGUGUGUGGUUUUUGCCAUUAAACAAUCAAAUAUUUGGCAGCAGAGGAUUAAAGGUUUAUUUGUUUUUUAUUUCUUUUCCUAAGCUAUUUUUAAAUAAUAAUGGCUAACUCAGAGCAUUAUGGUUCACAUACGAUACAUUAUAAAUCUUUGUAGUUUAACAAUUAAUAUUUUUAUAUAAUUGAUAGCCACUAAAUCAUUAAGAUUUGGGUGAAACAAAUUAAAAAGCUACUUAUAUACAUUUGGUUACACCACCUCUGCUUGGAAACAUUAAAAAACCAUUGGCCCAAUAUUCAUAUGUUUAUUACUUAUAUUUUAAUUUGUUUAAAGAGUAUAUUCUAAAGUUUGUUCUGUUAGAAUUGUAAUGUUUUAAAAUAUUUGGAAAUAAUCAAUAUUAUUGUUCCCUCAGGCAUGGCAAAAGACAAAAGUUGGAAAUAAUGGUAAUUUCUGUCAUCCUUAAAAAGUCUGAUAAUUUGGGGAGAAAGGUAGUUAAAACUUUCUCUCCACCCCUUAAGUAUUUUUUUAAACUUGGUUUUAUAAGUUUCAGAAGCAUGGACAAACUAUAUCUCUGGUAUUUUCCUUGUGAGUCCGCUUUACCAGUUCUCUAACACCUACGUGUACACACACACACACACACACACACACACAGACACACCCACACCCACCCCUACCCCUGUACUGCUUUGAAAAUGAAUGCCCUAAAGAGAACUGAAAGCAGAAACAUAUUAAUCUGAUUGUUUGAAGAGGCUUUGAAUGACAAAACAUAUCACAGGUGUUUCUAAUCAAGCUAUUUCUAUUUAACAUUAUUUUCAAGUUAGUAUUUUUUGGUGUGUGUUUUUUUAACAUAGGCAAGAUUGAGGUCAUUUUGAAGACCUUACCUCUGUGUUCAGGGAUCCACUGUGGAACUGCAGGAGGGGGAAAUCUGUUGAGUGUCUUCAUGCUAUAAUACAUGACAUUUUUAUUGCAGGUUUUGACCUUUAGGAGAGAGCCAAUUCUGGAGAACAACCUAACUUCUUUGAUUGAGCACUCACAUAAUGCAUUGGAACAUGUUAGGAGAUUAAGGUUUGAUAACAAUAAAAUGAAGACCGUAAUAAAACAGCCCCAUACUUAGUUCAAUUCUUAUCUUAAUGACAACUUGCUAACCUCCCCUUACCCUCUCUACACAUUGAAGUUUGGUGUUUAUUUAAUCCAAUUUAGAGAAAGAAGAAUGCCAUAGGCAUAAGACACCAUCCAUAGAACUGACUAUACCAGGGGUACGUAAGGCACAUGAAGAAAGAAUUGAGACCAGAAGCUGCAAACAGACAUUGUCUGUUCUAAGCAGAGUUCCUGACAACAGACCACUCUAGUGAAGGGUAAUAAAUGCCAUGUGAGAUGAUCCCCGCAACACAAAACUGUAAGUAACUUUUGGGAAUUACAGGGGGAUUAGAAAAUUGUCUCUGCUGACUCAAUAAAAUCUUCAUUUUGUAAUUUGUGGCCUGUAUGCUUGUAAAUUAAGAUACACUAGACCUCAAGUAGAGGUCUAGUUAGUGGGUGAGAAUUUAAGCCAAAAUACAGUGCAAUAACUUGGGACCUUUUUCUUAAAACCUGAGGAAAAGGUUACAUGAAUUUGGAUAACUAGAUUAGAAUUAAGUUAUUGGACCUCUGCCUGGAAAACCAAUUAGAGGACUUUAGUCUUGAUAUGGCAAGAAAUAGGGAGGCAGAAUAGCCCAGCCUUUUGAAAUAACAUAGUGGAAGUUGACAAAGUAAUGGAAUUUUUGUAAAUUAAGUGUGGCUGUACUAUAUAUAGGAUUCUAAGAAAUAAAGUCUAGUGGCAAGGAAACUGGCAUGUGACUAUUAUAGUAAUCUAGGAGUGAAGAAAUCCUGAACAGAAUAGUGCCAAUGAGAAGGGAGAUGAAAGAAUAAAUUAAAGAUAUUUCAAAAGGAAAAACUGUAGAACAUCACAAUGAGUUGGAUAAAAGGGUGGUGUCAAAAAAUACAUAUUCUGUACUAGACAAUCAUGGUAUCACUGAAAGUGGACAGUUAAGAGAAGCUGGUUUGAGAAGAUGUUGAGUCCCAUUUUUGUAAUACUGAAUUUAAGCUGAUAUGCAGGCAUCUUAUUUGAAAUGCUUUGAUUAAAAGUUGCUGACUCAGAGGGAAGACGGGGCGGGGGAGUGGAUGGGGAGA